rnacentral:rRNA from 1 species
GAUGAACGCUGGCGGCGUGCCUAAUACAUGCCAGUCGAGCGAAGCGGGGACGGGUGAGUAACACGUGGAUAACCUCCUAUAAGACUGGGAUAACUUCGGGAAACCGGUGCUAAACCGGCUACUUCUAGUUGGCUCCGGUCUGCAUUAGCUAGUUGGUCUGGUAACGGCUUACCAAGGCAACGAUGCAUAGCCGGCCUGAGAGGGUGAUCGGCCACACUGGAACUGAGACACGGUCCAGACUCCUACGGGAGGCAGCAGUAGGGAAUCUUCCACAAUGGGCGAAAGCCUAACGGAGCAACGCCGCGUGAGUGAUGAAGGUCUUCGGAUCGUAAAACUCUGUUAUUAGGGAAGCGGUACCUAAUCAGAAAGCCACGGCUAACUACGUGCCAGCAGCCGCGGUAAUAC